UGGGAUGUAAUUUGGUCAAUGC
rnacentral:siRNA from 1 species